rnacentral:tmRNA from 1 species
GGGGGCGAUAUGGAUUCGACUGGGCGGGCGAGGUUGAAGCAGCGUGCCGGGGUUGAUCGGUUGGCCCCGUUAAAAAGCCGAUCACACUAAUAACUGCCGAGCAUAACUAUGCUCUCGCUGCCUAAUUAAACGGGCAACGCCUGUGGCCAUGACGCCGAUGAUGGGUCCCACAGGUCGCUAUCGGCUGGUUGUCUGGUAGACGCGCCUUAGUCGCCCCGACAAUGAGAACAAAGUGAGGCUGGUUCGGAACGGGCUGUUUGUGAACCGUUGCGAAUGAGAUUAAUCACAAACUGCGCACGGAGCGGCUUCCUCCAGACUUGUCGCAGGACGCGGGUUCGAUUCCCGCCGCCUCCACCA